rnacentral:rRNA from 1 species
UACGGUAGGGGGCUAGCGUUGUCCGGAAUCAUUGGGCGUAAAGAGCGUGUAGGCGGUUCGGUAAGUCCGCUGUGAAAGUCCAGGGCUCAACCCUGGAAUGCCGGUGGAUACUGUCGGGCUAGAGUCCGGAAGAGGCGAGUGGAAUUCCUGGUGUAGCGGUGAAAUGCGCAGAUAUCAGGAGGAACACCAAUGGCGAAGGCAGCUCGCUGGGACGGUACUGACGCUGAGACGCGAAAGCGUGGGGAGCAAACAGGAUUGAGAAACCCCAGU